ACCGGCGCACGGGUGCGUAACGCGUAUGCAACCUACCUUUGACACGGGAAUAGCCCGAAGAAAUUCGGAUUAAUACCCGAUGGUAUCAUUUGGUGACAUCGCCGGAUGAUUAAAGAUUUAUCGGUCAGAGAUGGGCAUGCGUCUGAUUAGCUAGUUGGUGAGGUAACUGCUCACCAAGGCUACGAUCAGUAGGGGUUCUGAGAGGAUGAUCCCCCACACCGGUACUGAGACACGGACCGGACUCCUACGGGAGGCAGCAGUAAGGAAUAUUGGUCAAUGGGCGCAAGCCUGAACCAGCCACGCCGCGUGCAGGAAGACGGCCCUACGGGUUGUAAACUGCUUUUGUUUGGGAAGAAACCCUCCUUUGCGAAGGAGACUGACGGUACCAGACGAAUAAGCACCGGCUAACUCCGUGCCAGCAGCCGCGGUAAUACGGAGGGUGCAAGCGUUAUCCGGAUUUAUUGGGUUUAAAGGGUGCGUAGGCGGCCUGUUAAGUCAGUGGUGAAAGUCGGCAGCUCAACUGUCGAAUUGCCUUUGAUACUGGCAGGCUUGAAUGAAGUUGAAGAGGGCGGAAUGUGACAUGUAGCGGUGAAAUGCAUAGAUAUGUCACAGAACACCGAUUGCGAAGGCAGCUCUCUAAGCUUGUAUUGACGCUGAUGCACGAAAGCGUGGGGGAUCAAACAGGAUUAGAUACCCUGGUAGUCCACGCCGU
rnacentral:rRNA from 1 species